GACGAACGCUGGCGGCGUGCUUAACACAUGCAAGUCGAACGGAAAGGUCCUGCUUUUGUGGGGUGCUCGAGUGGCGAACAGGUGAGUAACACGUGAGUAUCAUGUCCUUGACUUUGGGAUAACUUCAGGAAACUGGGGCUAAUACCGGAUAGGAUCUUCUGCUGCGUGGUGGGGGUUGGAAAGUUUCGGCGGUUGUGGAUCGUCUCGCGGCUUAUCAGCUUGUUGGUGGAGUAGUGGAUUCCCAAGGCUUUGAAGGGUAGCCUGCCUGAGAGGGUGACCGGCCACAUUGGGACUGCGGUACGGCCCAGACUCCAACGGGAGGCAGUGGUGGGAAAUAUUGCAGAGUGGGGCGAAGCCUGAUGCAACAAUGCCGGGAGCGGGAUGACGUCCUACGGGUUAUAAACCGCUGUCGACUGUAACGAAGAGUGAGUGACGGUAAUUGGUAAGAAAGCACCGGCUAACUACGUG
rnacentral:rRNA from 1 species